rnacentral:rRNA from 1 species
GACGAACGCUGGCGGCGUGCUUAACACAUGCAAGUCGAGCGGUAAGGCCCUUUCGGGGGUACACGAGCGGCGAACGGGUGAGUAACACGUGGGUGACCUGCCCUCAGCUCUGGGAUAAGCCUGGGAAACCGGGUCUAAUACUGGAUAUGACUCCAUGACGCAUGUUGUGGGGUGGAAAGCCUUGUGCGGCUGAGGAUGGGCCCCGCGGCCUAUCAGCUUGUUGGUGGGGGUGANGGCCUACCAAGGCGACGACGGGUAGCCGGCCUGAGAGGGCGACCGGCCACACUGGGGCUGAGACACGGCCCAGACUCCUACGGGAGGCAGCAGUGGGGAAUCUUGCGCAAUGGGCGAAAGCCUGACGCAGCGACGCCGCGUGAGGGAUGACGGCCU